AUUAGGGUUCUAGGCACUUCCUAUAUGCUAGGCACCAGUGUAAACACUUUACAAAUAUCAACUUUUAAAAUUCCCAUGACAACCCCAUGAGUUAUAGAUACUAUUAUUAUCUCAGUUUUGCAGAUGAUAAACUUAGGCUCAGAGAGGUUAAGCAACUUGUUUGAGAUCUCAUGGUUCUAAUUGGUAGAGCCAGGAUUGGAAUCCAGGAUCUCUGAAUCCAGAGUCUGUCCUUAACUCAUAUGCAUUCUGCUUCCUCAUAGGAUAGGUAUAUUUGGAAUCUUGAUAGAUACUGCCAAGUUGUCCCUGAAAAAGGUUCUAUCAAUUUAUAUUUCCACAAACUGUAUUUGAGUGUUCACCCAUUUUCCUAUUUCAUUACCAAACCCUAUGUUCUCACUUUUAAAUUUUUUUGCCAAUUUGUGGUUGGAAAAAUAGUAUCAAAUUAUUGUUUUAACUUACAAUUAAUGCACCAUUAACAUUUAUAAUACUUAGCUUUUAUUAGACCUGUACUACAAUAAAAUACAUAAAAGAAUUCUUCAUCAUUUCCAGAUUAUCAUCCCAGAGCCCUCCCUGAAGCCCACACACAGCUUCUUCAGGAAAUGCUGACAGCAUGGUAUACACAUGGCUUCCAUGUUUGUCAUGGUUCCAAAGUUUGCUUUUGAAAGAGUUUAAUUUCUUUCUUUCUUUCUUUCUUUCUUUCCUUUAUUGGCUAAACUCCCCCCACAGGACCUGAGUGAGCAGAAGGCUUUUCAGAAUUACAGCCUGAACUAUUUCUUGAGCAAUUUGGGAACUCAUUUCUAAAGCAGUCCUCAGAUUCACACAACGUAGUUUGUGACGGAGUAUGCCCAGAGCAGGUAGGAAAGGCAAAACAGCAUUUUGACACUGAGGGAUUUAGCAGAAAGAUCUGACCCAACAAGUAAAAACUCUUUUAAAGGUUCAGUCAAAUUUAUUCUCAUCACACUCCUCUGGAAUGCCCAACAGGCACAUGUUUUGUCAAUGAAAAUUGUUUUCAAUCUCAUUGAUGUUUUGUUUGGCAAGAACCAUUUCUUUCAACAAUUUCUUAUUAAUCAUCUAUAAUUUUUCACUUCUGACAGUGUUAUCACCAGUGCUUUCAGUAACUGCAUACUUAUAAAACAGCCAAACUUCAACCUGUGUUCAGUUUUUAUCUGUUUCUUGGGAAUGUAAUUUGGACAAAAAAGUUACCAAUGUAUUUACAACCAAAUUUCAGAUCUUCAACAUUACAGAGGGUAAGAAAUGUGAACACAAUGGAAUUCUUCUAUCAUCCUUAUUUUGUGAGAUCUAAUUAGUGUAUACUCACCUUCCCAGUAAUGUCAUGUUAGCUUUCUCCCUGUCUUUGUGGCUUGUAGAUUUCUGUCUCCAGGGGCAUGGUUUGCAUUGUGGUGAUCCAGAUAUGGAUAAGGCAACAUCCAGUGUCUUAAUAGGGUCCUGCCUUCCAAACAAAUAAUUCACUGUGGCUCUAAGAUUGUGUCUUUCUGCAUAUGCCAACUGAAGCUGUUUUAGCCAAACUACCUUCUACAUAGGCCUAGUGAAAAUACCUUCAGGGCUAGAUGAAGGUGUUUGGCAUGCUUUUUCUUCCAUGGUGGGGGCAACAUUGGGCAGUGCUGCCUUCCUGGCUGUGAGCAGCUUGUGGGUCCCCAGGGACCAUUUCACUGGACUUCAGCUUAAACAUUGUUUAUACAUGGCCAUCGAUUUCCUUUACCAAGAGCUGCCAAUCCAAUGGCAUUAGCCACACCUGCCAUGCACUUCCACCCCUCCUCAACCAGGUGGUAAGCACAGGAGACGAACUGGUGUUAGGAGAAAAAGCCAUACCGAUGGUCCAGUGCAGUGGGAUAGCCAGGAAACUUGUUAGAAAUUCAAUUCCCUGGCCCCACCCUACAUCUCUGGGUGAUUUGGAUAUAGGCCAUAACAUUUGAGAACUGCUGCUCUGGCUUAAUGACAUUUCUUCUACCCCAGAGGCUGGCAUUUCUGCAGGCACAAAUGAGCUUGGUUUUCAAGCACUGCUCUUUGAACACAAGGAAUUCCUUUAAUGAUCACGCCGGACUAUAUAGACUUUGGAAUCAGACUCUUUGAAUUCCAGCUCUGCCAUUUACCAACUUUGACACUUUGGGUAAGUCCUUUUAACCUCUUUAAGCCUCAGUUUCCUUUUCUGCAAACAGGAAUAAUGAUAACUAACAAUAAUAAUAAUAAUCCUUUCUCAUUGAUUAAAAAUAAACUGAGCUGCAACUGCUAUUCGUAUGCUCUCAACAUAUGUGUGUGUGAGUAUAUAUUUAUUUUAUAUAGGUACCAAUAUACUAUAUACAGUAUGAUGUAAAUAAUAAAAUGCAAAAAAGUAAACUAAAUAAUAAGGUUACAAAAUAAACAAAAACAAAUAAUUUAAUAUUUUCUUUUUAUCCUGCACAAAUACUGGGAGCAUUACUUCCACUUUCAAUAACCUUAAUGCAUGUAGUGUGUUUAGCAGGCUGCAUAGCACAAAGUAGUACUCAGGAUAUGUUAGG
rnacentral:lncRNA from 10 species